rnacentral:rRNA from 1 species
GACGAACGCUGGCGGCGUGCUUAACACAUGCAAGUCGAACGGGAGGUCGUAAACAGUACCCUCCGGGGGAGAUCACUAGUGAGAGUGGCGACCGGGUGAGUAACGCGUGAGCAAACUGCCUAUGACAGUGGGAUAGCCUCGGGAAACCGGGAGUAAUACUGCAUCACAUCGUAGAAACGCAUGUGUUAACGGUCAAAGAUUUAAUGGUCAUAGCUGGGCUCGCGUCGGAUUAGCUAGUUGGGGAGAUAACAGGCCACCAAGGCGACGAUCAGUAGCCGGGCUGUGAGGAAGAGCGGCCACAUCGGAGCGAGGCAGCAGUCCAAAAUCCUACGGGAGGCAGCAGUGCGGAAUAUUGCACAAUGGGGGAAGUGAUGAAGGAGCUACGCUGCGUGAACGAUGAAGGUAUUCGUAUCGUAAAGUUCUGGCCUAUGGGAAGAUAAUGACAGUACCAAAGAAGAAAGCCCCGGCUAAAUACGUG